rnacentral:rRNA from 1 species
GCAGUCGAGCGGAACGACUUAACUGAACCUUCGGGGAACGUUAAGGGCGUCGAGCGGCGGACGGGUGAGUAAUGCCUAGGAAAUUGCCCUGAUGUGGGGGAUAACCAUUGGAAACGAUGGCUAAUACCGCAUGAUGCCUACGGGCCAAAGAGGGGGACCUUCGGGCCUCUCGCGUCAGGAUAUGCCUAGGUGGGAUUAGCUAGUUGGUGAGGUAAUGGCUCACCAAGGCGACGAUCCCUAGCUGGUCUGAGAGGAUGAUCAGCCACACUGGAACUGAGACACGGUCCAGACUCCUACGGGAGGCAGCAGUGGGGAAUAUUGCACAAUGGGCGCAAGCCUGAUGCAGCCAUGCCGCGUGUGUGAAGAAGGCCUUCGGGUUGUAAAGCACUUUCAGUCGUGAGGAAGGUGGUGUAGUUAAUAGCUGCAUUACUUGACGUUAGCGACAGAAGAAGCACCGGCUAACUCCGUGCCAGCAGCCGCGGUAAUACGGAGGGUGCGAGCGUUAAUCGGAAUUACUGGGCGUAAAGCGCAUGCAGGUGGUUUGUUAAGUCAGAUGUGAAAGCCCGGGGCUCAACCUCGGAAUAGCAUUUGAAACUGGCAGACUAGAGUACUGUAGAGGGGGGUAGAAUUUCAGGUGUAGCGGUGAAAUGCGUAGAGAUCUGAAGGAAUACCGGUGGCGAAGGCGGCCCCCUGGACAGAUACUGACACUCAGAUGCGAAAGCGUGGGGAGC